rnacentral:rRNA from 1 species
AGUAUGGUCGCAAGGCCGAAACUUAAGGAAUGACGAAGGGCACCACCAGGAGUGGAAUCUGCGGCUUAAUUUGACCCAACGCGGGAAAACUCACCAGGUCAGGACACGGUAAGGAUUGACGGACUGAAGGCUCUUUCUCGAUUCCGGUGGAAAGUGGUGCAUGGCCGUUUUGGUUGGUGGAUCGAUCCGUCUGGUUAAUUCCGUUAACGAACGAGACCUCGGCACUCCGAAUAGCGCGGCGGACGUCGCGGCCUCCGGGCCGUCUUCCGCACGAGCUUCUUAGAGGGACCGUCCCCCGCCGGGGAAGGAGGUGCGAGGCAACGACAGGUCUGUGAUGCCCUUAGAUGUUCUGGGCCGCACGCGCAUUACACUGACGCGUCCAACGGGGUGACUCCCGACCCGAAGGGGCCGGGGAAUCCGCAAGGCGCGUCGUGAUGGGGAUUGAACGUUGCAAUUGUUGUUCACGAACGAGGAAUUCCUAGUAGGCGCGGGUCAUCAACCCGCGCCGAUUACGUCCCUGCCCUUUGUACACACC